UUGGGGCAUUUGAUGAAUCUCAUUUUUUAAUGGGUAAUUUGCGUCUGAAUUCUUCUUGAUGCUAUAUCACCUUGGAGACCUGAUGCCUUUC
rnacentral:snoRNA from 1 species